ACUCCUACGGGAGGCAGCAGUGAGGAAUAUUGGUCAAUGGAGGGAACUCUGAACCAGCCAUCCCGCGUGUAGGAAGACGGCCUUAUGGGUUGUAAACUACUUUUAUACAGGAAGAAACGUACCUCGUGAGGGUGCCUGACGGUACUGUAGGAAUAAGCACCGGCUAACUCCGUGCCAGCAGCCGCGGUAAUACGGAGGGUGCGAGCGUUAUCCGGAUUUAUUGGGUUAAAGGGUCCGUAGGCGGAUUAAUAAGUCAGUGGUGAAAUCCCAUCGCUUAACGAUGGGAACUGCCAUUGAUACUGUUAGUCUUGAAUGAGGGUGCAGUGGUUGGAAUGUGUAGUGUAGC
rnacentral:rRNA from 1 species